rnacentral:rRNA from 1 species
GGUUAAGCGACUAAGCGUACACGGUGGAUGCCCUGGCAGUCAGAGGCGAUGAAGGACGUGCUAAUCUGCGAAAAGCGUCGGUAAGGUGAUAUGAACCGUUAUAACCGGCGAUGUCCGAAUGGGGAAACCCAGUGCAAUUCGUUGCACUAUCGUUAACUGAAUACAUAGGUUAACGAGGCGAACCGGGGGAACUGAAACAUCUAAGUACCCCGAGGAAAAGAAAUCAACCGAGAUUCCCCCAGUAGCGGCGAGCGAACGGGGAGCAGCCCAGAGUCUGAAUCAGCUUGUGUGUUAGUGGAACGGUCUGGAAAGUCCGACGGUACAGGGUGAUAGUCCCGUACACCAAAAUGCACAGGUUGUGAACUCGAAGAGUAGGGCGGGACACGUGGUAUCCUGUCUGAAUAUGGGGGGACCAUCCUCCAAGGCUAAAUACUCCUGACUGACCGAUAGUGAACCAGUACCGUGAGGGAAAGGCGAAAAGAACCCCGGCGAGGGGAGUGAAAAAGAACCUGAAACCGUGUACGUACAAGCAGUGGGAGCACCUUCGGGUGUGACUGCGUACCUUUUGUAUAAUGGGUCAGCGACUUAUAUUCUGUAGCAAGGUUAACCGUAUAGGGGAGCCGCAGGGAAACCGAGUCUUAACUGGGCGUUAAGUUGCAGGGUAUAGACCCGAAACCCGGUGAUCUAGCCAUGGGCAGGUUGAAGGUUGGGUAACACUAACUGGAGGACCGAACCGACUAAUGUUGAAAAAUUAGCGGAUGACUUGUGGCUGGGGGUGAAAGGCCAAUCAAACCGGGAGAUAGCUGGUUCUCCCCGAAAGCUAUUUAGGUAGCGCCUCGUGAACUCAUCUUCGGGGGUAGAGCACUGUUUCGGCUAGGGGGUCAUCCCGACUUACCAACCCGAUGCAAACUACGAAUACCGAAGAAUGUUAUCACGGGAGACACACGGCGGGUGCUAACGUCCGUCGUGAAGAGGGAAACAACCCAGACCGCCAGCUAAGGUCCCAAAGUCAUGGUUAAGUGGGAAACGAUGUGGGAAGGCACAGACAGCCAGGAUGUUGGCUUAGAAGCAGCCAUCAUUUAAAGAAAGCGUAAUAGCUCACUGGUCGAGUCGGCCUGCGCGGAAGAUGUAACGGGGCUAAACCAUGCACCGAAGCUGCGGCAGCGACACGAUGUGUUGUUGGGUAGGGGAGCGUUCUGUAAGCCUGCGAAGGUGACCUGUGAGGGUUGCUGGAGGUAUCAGAAGUGCGAAUGCUGACAUAAGUAACGAUAAAGCGGGUGAAAAGCCCGCUCGCCGGAAGACCAAGGGUUCCUGUCCAACGUUAAUCGGGGCAGGGUGAGUCGACCCCUAAGGCGAGGCCGAAAGGCGUAGUCGAUGGGAAACAGGUUAAUAUUCCUGUACUUGGUGUUACUGCGAAGGGGGGACGGAGAAGGCUAUGUUAGCCGGGCGACGGUUGUCCCGGUUUAAGCAUGUAGGCUGGUUAUCCAGGCAAAUCCGGAUAAUCAAGGCUGAGGUGUGAUGACGAGGCACUACGGUGCUGAAGUAACAAAUGCCCUGCUUCCAGGAAAAGCCUCUAAGCAUCAGGUAACAUCAAAUCGUACCCCAAACCGACACAGGUGGUCAGGUAGAGAAUACCAAGGCGCUUGAGAGAACUCGGGUGAAGGAACUAGGCAAAAUGGUGCCGUAACUUCGGGAGAAGGCACGCUGGUGUGUAGGUGAAGUCCCUGCGGAUGGAGCUGAGACCAGUCGAAGAUACCAGCUGGCUGCAACUGUUUAUUAAAAACACAGCACUGUGCAAACACGAAAGUGGACGUAUACGGUGUGACGCCUGCCCGGUGCCGGAAGGUUAAUUGAUGGGGUUAUCCGUAAGGAGAAGCUCUUGAUCGAAGCCCCGGUAAACGGCGGCCGUAACUAUAACGGUCCUAAGGUAGCGAAAUUCCUUGUCGGGUAAGUUCCGACCUGCACGAAUGGCGUAAUGAUGGCCAGGCUGUCUCCACCCGAGACUCAGUGAAAUUGAACUCGCUGUGAAGAUGCAGUGUACCCGCGGCAAGACGGAAAGACCCCGUGAACCUUUACUAUAGCUUGACACUGAACAUUGAGCCUUGAUGUGUAGGAUAGGUGGGAGGCUUUGAAGCGUGGACGCCAGUCUGCGUGGAGCCAACCUUGAAAUACCACCCUUUAAUGUUUGAUGUUCUAACGUUGGCCCCUGACCGGGGUUGCGGACAGUGUCUGGUGGGUAGUUUGACUGGGGCGGUCUCCUCCCAAAGCGUAACGGAGGAGCACGAAGGUUAGCUAAUCCUGGUCGGACAUCAGGAGGUUAGUGCAAUGGCAUAAGCUAGCUUGACUGCGAGCGUGACGGCGCGAGCAGGUGCGAAAGCAGGUCAUAGUGAUCCGGUGGUUCUGAAUGGAAGGGCCAUCGCUCAACGGAUAAAAGGUACUCCGGGGAUAACAGGCUGAUACCGCCCAAGAGUUCAUAUCGACGGCGGUGUUUGGCACCUCGAUGUCGGCUCAUCACAUCCUGGGGCUGAAGUAGGUCCCAAGGGUAUGGCUGUUCGCCAUUUAAAGUGGUACGCGAGCUGGGUUUAGAACGUCGUGAGACAGUUCGGUCCCUAUCUGCCGUGGGCGCUGGAGAAUUGAGGGGGGCUGCUCCUAGUACGAGAGGACCGGAGUGGACGCAUCACUGGUGUUCGGGUUGUCAUGCCAAUGGCACUGCCCGGUAGCUAAAUGCGGAAGAGAUAAGUGCUGAAAGCAUCUAAGCACGAAACUUGCCCCGAGAUGAGUUCUCCCUGAGACUUUAAGUCUCCUGAAGGAACGUUAAAGACGAUGACGUUGAUAGGCCGGGUGUGUAAGCGCAGCGAUGCGUUGAGCUAACCGGUACUAAUGAACCGUGAGGCUUAACCUU